AAGACUAUACUUUCAGGGAUCAUUUCUAUAGUUUCCAACUAGAUUAACUACAAUUGUGGGUUUGAUUUUAUUAACAGCUGCCAUGAGCACCUAAAUUUGCAGU